rnacentral:rRNA from 1 species
UGAGCAAUCUGCCCUUCUCAUCGGAAUAAGCGUUGGAAACGACGUCUAAUGCCGAAUACGACCUCCUUUCGCAUGAUCGGAGGUGGAAAGCUCCGGCGGAGAAGGAUGAGUUCGCGGCCUAUCAGCUAGUUGGUGUGGGUAAUGGCCCACCAAGGCGACGACGGGUAGCCGGCCUGAGAGGGUGACCGGCCACACUGGGACUGAGACACGGCCCAGACCUCCGUACGGGAGGNAGCG